rnacentral:lncRNA from 1 species
CUGUAUUUAUAUUAUAAUUUUAAUAACUUGUAUCUGUGUCUUUGACCUUUUAUACAGAUCAAUACUUCGUCUUAUUGUUUAUUUAUUAUCAUCAUUAUUUAUCCUCAACAUUUCGAUCUUGCUCGACUAAAACGAAUACUAAAGUUAUUAAUGUAAUUUAUUCCGAAAGUGUAACAUUUCCCCUCCGAGGCGGCAGGUGGCGCUGCCGUUCAGAGGCUGCUGUGUCCUACACAAGAAGAAGAAGAAGAAGAAGAAGAAGAGAGAGAGUUGUUGCUGUGAGCAGGGUGAGGACGUGUUCAGCUGUUUAAACUGUGUUUCCUGUGUUUGUUAGCAGUAGUUUGGUUCAGCUCCGGGUCUCUUCACCAGCACAGGACCUUAGCUAGCUGCACGUUAGCUAACAGGAACGGUGCUGCCUCUCCCACGCUCUCUGUUAGCGUUGAGUUAGGAGGUCCUCUGUUACCGUGGAGACCGCUGUUACCAGGGAGGACCACACUAAGGUCGCCAUGGCGAACAAGACGGAGCUCGAAGCCUCAGACCAAACCUCUCCUGAUGAAGAACUCACAAAGCCCGCUGGCCGUCGUCCCCGCCGCAGAGCCGCUGCCACCACCCUAGGUAGACGGGGUCAGAGAGGAAAGAGGCGGGGCCCCGGCGAUAAAAGGUGGGGUCUGAAGGAGAAGAAGCGGGGCCAGGAAGAGAAGAAGGAGGGCGUGACGGUGAAGAGGACUUGCAGCGAUGGGAAGCGGCGGUGGGAUAAGAAGCAUUACUGCGUGUUCUGUCGGCGACCACAAGUGAAGAUCGCUCGUCACCUUCUGAGGAAACACGGCGACCAACAGGAAGUGGUGGCCGCGAGCAAGCUGCUGACGGGCUCCAAACAACGGCACCUGCUGUUGGAGCAUUUACGCUGCAGGGGCAACUACAUGCACAACAUUGAGGUGAUCAGACAGGGCACCGGAGAGAUCGUCCCGUGGCGUCAGCCCUCAGAGGAAGUUGAUGCGAGGAACUACCUUCCCUGCCCACUCUGCCUCGGUUUUUUCCUUCGCGCUGAUCUCUGGAAACAUCAGGCCUCCUGUCGUAAGAAGAUGACCUCUGACCCCGCUGCAGAGACGACCUCUGACCCCGUGAAGGACACGUCCUCUGACACCACGGGUAAGUUGGCUGGUGAUCCAGCAGACAUCAGGACUGACAAAUCCACAGAGGACACGCCUUCUGACCCCUCAGGAGACACAACAGAGCAGACCAGGACCAACCGGCCCGUGACCUCUGACCCCAGUGUAGAUCAGAACGUGACCUCUGAUCCUGAGGCGGACCGGCCCAGGAAGCGCAGCAGGGUCCAGGCUGCAGCGUCCCGCCUCCUUCCCAUUUCGAGCGGAGCGUCUGAGAGCUGCAGCGAAGUCCUGCAUCGCAUGAACCAGGACCAGGUCUCGCACCAGGUAAAAUCUGAUUGGUUGAUCUGUAAAUACGGAAACAAGUUGAUGGGGAACCAAGAUGGCAGCCAGAGGAGGUACGACUACGUCAGUCAGAAGCUGAGGGAGCUCGGCAGGUUCCUCCUCGCUGCUAAAUCUUUGGACUCUGGUGUCCAGACCCUCCAGGACAUCCUGGCUCCGGGGCGCCUCAGCCUGGCGCUGACCGCUGCCAGAAAGGCGUCUGGAUACCGGUGGAGCCGGCCUCCACUGGCGGUGAAGACCACGCUGAAGACGGUUUGUGAAAUUGCCAUCGGAGAGAGUCUGCAGGACGGAGACUGGGAGGCUGCAGCCAAGACCACCGACUUCUACCACCUGCUGGGGAAGGAGUGGGACAACCUGGGACUGCUGAACCCCGACCCCGACACAGCUAAACUGAAGAAACCAAGAAGUGCAAAGUGUGACGAGCAGUCUGACACAAGACCAGAGGUUCCAUCACAGAGCAGUAACCGACCGGUGACCUCCAUGAUUCCUCCAGAGUCCAGGCUGCAGACACCUGCCACAGUCCCUGUGGCUCCCAGGAAGGUCCGACGUCGCCCAUGGUCGUCUGCAGAGAAGGAAGCGGUCUGGAGACAGUUGGGAGUCCACGUGCUUGUCCAGUCAGUACCGGGGAAGGAGGUCUGUCAGCGCUGUCUGGACCUGGAGCCUGUCCUCAGAGGGCGACACUGGAAAGACAUCAAGAACCAGGUCCACAACCAGAUCCAGAGCCAAAAGAAGCAGCAGUUCCAUGCCCAGAUGGACCUUCAGGAGAACCAGGACCAACAACCAGACCAAAUCCAAAACCAGAAGAAGCAGCAGCAGCAGUACCAGGCCCAAAUGGAUCACCAGGACCAGGACAACAUUCAGAACCAGAAGAAACAUCAGUACCAUACCCAGUUGGAACACGAGAACCACGUUCAAAUUCACAAAAAACAGCUGUGCCAUGCUAGACUGGACCACCAGGACCACCUUCAGAUCCAUAAAAAACAGCUGUACCAGAUGGGCGAGCAGACCCAGGGUCUGCAGACCGCCCUGGAUCGGGACACUUCUAUGCUGACGGGUACACCUUAUCGAGCCCCUGGACAGUCCCUGCUGGAGCGGGACCCCACAUAUCUUCCACACAGGACUCUGGGGCCUCACAUGGACCAGCUGCUGUCCAGGACAGAGUGGGCUGACGAGUCUUUGGCACAGCAUUACUCCGUCAGCAGGCAACUGGAAAGGAACCUGCUCCAGGACGCAACCCAGGGACAGCCGCCCAACCCUCACUCUGGACAUGUCCUCUUCUGAUGGACACUGAGCACUGAUAACGAAGCAUAAGGCCUUUAAAGUGUUUUUCUACUAAUGGGGACAAUUUCUUUAUUGGUCCAGUAUUGAGCGAGAGCGCUGCAGCGUAAUCCUGUCGGGCUAAAGCUUUUAUUCCUCUGUAGGUCGUCAGACACGGAGAAUAACAAUCUGAGCUCUCGGAACACUUUUAGUGGACGUUGAUGAAGUCUUACACUGCAGCGCUCUCUCUCAAUACUCGUCCCCAUAAGUCACUUAGAAAACACGGUCCAGGCUGGAGAAUACCAGUUCCCCUUUAAGUCCUCCACUACAAAAACUAAACAACCCGUAAUUUAAAUGUGUUUUAUUUAUUUAGCCAUACUGAUAUUUAAAAGUCACCACAUGUAAAAGUAUAUCGAUAUUAUCUCCACUCUUUCCAUUACUGUCUGUCCCACAGCUGAACUCGGUACCAGUGUUUGUCCCGGUGGAGUGUGUAACCACGUGUGUCUGAAACGUUCUGGUUAGUUCCUGUAGUGGAAAAUAUGCUCAACAAUUAACCAUAUCUUUUUUUAAAUUGCAAUAUGGACUCGUGCAAUAUCCAAAUUGCUAAAUAUCUGAAUUAAGUAUUGUGUUCUAUCUUUGUUUGGUACAGAUCCUUUUUUUUCAAUGGAAAUAAUGAUGCAAAAAUGUUGUGAAUCAUAUUCCGAUAUCAGUCAAGACAAAAAACAAAUGUCCGAUAUGUGUAACCCUUUGUACUGUUCUCAGUUAUUAUUCCUCCUCAUGACCAGCUCUGCACGGAAACCCCUUCGGUAUUUAUCACCAGUAGAUGGCGGGCUCAUCUCUCAUUUGGAUUCAACACAAAGUUCAACCCUGAAUUGUCUUUCACAACCAGGAUCUGCUUUCUCCCAUCAUGCAUCACACUUUGAAUCCACAGGUCCUUAAGUAUUCAGACUUUGUUCUUUAUUCGUUAAUUACCACAAUGCUUGACGCGAGCUCCCAUGAUUUGUUGGAAGAAAGAGGUAUAAAAUGUACUAUAAGUAUUAUAGUUAUAAUCAUUUGACCAUAGAAUAAAAAAUACAUUUAAAUAUUUAUCUACAUAAAGACAUUUUAUUUUGACGAUUGUCUAAUAAGUUUUUAUGAACAGAAUCCUUAAACUUUUUAUAAAAGCGAUAUGUUUUAUAAGUAUUGCACCUUUAACUAGAAGAGCAGAUGUUAAUAUUCACAGUGAAUCCAACAUGUCUGCUCAUUAUUGUCAGUUAUUAUUCUAACCCUGUGAAAAAACAAUAUCUAUAAAUUAUUAUAUAUAUAAAUUCACGGGUAAACACGAGACAAAUGUUUCUCUGGAGAUAUCAAAGAUGAAUGUUCAGUAAUUUAACAUUUAAAUCAGCAACAUUACAAACAUGCUCAGCGCCAGAGGUCAAAUAAAGCACUUUAAAGUGUGUUUAAUCCCGGGGCGGGUCGCGAGCUGAUUGGCCCGGCGUAGAAAUCAUCUUAGAAAUUAAAAAAGUGAAGUUAAUAUUUAUGACCGACACGAGAUCAAAGCUCUUCGUGCUGGCGCGAGACACACGUGAGUGACGUCAUCACAGUGGGC